UGGAUCACCUCCUAACAGGGAGACAACAAAAUGUUUAAUAUUAUUAUUUUGUCACCUUAGGUCGAUCGGUAUCUCACGUUCUUAAUUUCUUAAGAAUUUCAUUUCCUAAGUUUUUCUAGGUCACACCCAUUAUUUUUCCUGGGCCAUUAGCUCAGGUGGUUAGAGCGCACCCCUGAUAAGGGUGAGGUCCCUGGUUCAAGUCCAGGAUGGCCCAUAUCUCUAUGUUGGGGGUAUAGCUCAGUUGGUAGAGCGCCUGCUUUGCGAGCAGGAUGUCAGCGGUUCGAGUCCGCUUACCUCCACUGAUUACCACCUCUUCCAUAACCGGUAGAAAGGAAAUGUUUUGAGUUGUGAUCAAAUUCUGAAAGAAUCUAGCUUCCUAAUGAAAUCAUUAAGAUGCUGGACUCAUUGAAUUAAUUUCAUUGUUUUCAGAGAACCUUGACAACUGCAUAGAUUAUUUUUAAAGACAAUAAGCAUCUUUAAUGAUGCAGAUUUAUUAUUUGUGCGAAUGCAUUAAUAACAAUUCUAUUAAGCUGAUGCUUCAAUUUUUGAAGUUAUUGGUCAAGCUACAAAGGGCUCACGGAGGAUACCUAGGCACACAGAGGCGAUGAAGG
rnacentral:tRNA from 1 species